CCACGCCGUAAACGAUGUCUACUUGGAGGUUGUGGCCUUGAGCCGUGGCUUUCGGAGCUAACGCGUUAAGUAGACCGCCUGGGGAGUACGGUCGCAAGAUUAAAACUCAAAUGAAUUGACGGGGGCCCGCACAAGCGGUGGAGCAUGUGGUUUAAUUCGAUGCAACGCGAAGAACCUUACCUACUCUUGACAUCCAGAGAACUUAGCAGAGAUGCUUUGGUGCCUUCGGGAACUCUGAGACAGGUGCUGCAUGGCUGUCGUCAGCUCGUGUUGUGAAAUGUUGGGUUAAGUCCCGCAACGAGCGCAACCCUUAUCCUUGUUUGCCAGCGAGUAAUGUCGGGAACUCCAGGGAGACUGCCGGUGAUAAACCGGAGGAAGGUGGGGACGACGUCAAGUCAUCAUGGCCCUUACGAGUAGGGCUACACNCGUGCUACAAUGGCGCAUACAGAGGGCNGCCAACUCGCGAGAGUGAGCGAAUCCCAAAAAGUGCGUCGUAGUCCGGAUUGGAGUCUGCAACUCGACUCCAUGAAGUCGGAAUCGCUAGUAAUCGUAGAUCAGAAUGCUACGGUGAAUACGUUCCCGGGCCUUGUACACACCGCCCGUCACACCAUGGGAGUGGGCUGCAAAAGAAGUGGGUAGUUUAACCUUCGGGAGGACGCUCACCACU
rnacentral:rRNA from 1 species